AUGGUGUUUGAUCAUGUAAUGCAACAUUGGUUAUGUGAUCAAAACUUAUGGCUUAUGCUCGCUUCCAACGCGAUACGUCUUGUUUCUUAUUUCAUGAGAAAUGUCCUUUAUUCACACUUGUUGUAUAUUGUCUGGAUAUGUAUAACACUUUGUGUAGGAACUCUGAUAUAUGGUGCGUUCGUGGCAUGCAUUUUUAUAUUCAUUUAG